rnacentral:rRNA from 1 species
ACCCGCUGAACUUAAGCAUAUCAAUAAGCGGAGGAAAAGAAACCAACAGGGAUUGCCCUAGUAACGGCGAGUGAAGCGGCAACAGCUCAAAUUUGAAAUCUGGCUCUUUUAGAGUCCGAGUUGUAAUUUGCAGAGGGCGCUUUGGCUUUGGCAGCGGUCCAAGUUCCUUGGAACAGGACGUCACAGUGGGUGAGAAUCCCGUACGUGGUCGCUGGCUAUUGCCGUGUAAAGCCCCUUCGACGAGUCGAGUUGUUUGGGAAUGCAGCUCUAAAUGGGAGGUACAUUUCUUCUAAAGCUAAAUAUUGGCCAGAGACCGAUAGCGCACAAGUAGAGUGAUCGAAAGAUGAAAAGCACUUUGGAAAGAGAGUCAAACAGCACGUGAAAUUGUUGAAAGGGAAGCGCUUGCAGCCAGACUUGCUUACAGUUGCUCAUCCGGGCUUUUGCCCGGUGCACUCUUCUGUAGGCAGGCCAGCAUCAGUUUGGGCGGUAGGAUAAAGGUCUCUGUCACGUACCUCUCUUCGGGGAGGCCUUAUAGGGGAGACGACAUACUACCAGCCUGGACUGAGGUCCGCGCAUCUGCUAGGAUGCUGGCGUAAUGGCUGU